rnacentral:lncRNA from 1 species
AAUUAUUUCUCAAUCACAAAUAAAAAAAUUUAUUGGUCACAAAUUAUUUCUCUACCACAAAUUAAAAAUUUUAUAGGUUACGAUUUAUUCAUCAAUCACAAAUUUUAACAGUCGCUAAUUAUUUAACAGUCACAAAUAUCAAAUUAGUUGGUCACAGAUUAUUUCUCGAUCACAACUUAAUAAAUUGUAAAUCAACCAAAUAAUUGAUCACAAACAACCCCACCAACGACCAUCCCAUCUCCACCCACGAUCGUGACGGCCAUGACCACUACCAAAACACACCACAUAAACCACAACACUUAUCGCAACCACCACACACCACAACAAUGCAUCAACCACACCACCACAAACCACAGCAACCACCAACCAACCAACCACACCAUAACCACCAACUACAUCGCAUCGCAACCACCAACCAUUGCAUUGUAACCUCAAAACCACCGCACCAUUUGAACCCAUCGUCAUUUGAACUCGUUGGAUCUAAUCAGAGCCAUCGCUGCUGCUUCGUGUUGCCGGAGAUGACGCUAUCACUCUCAGAGCUUCAAACACGGGGAUGAUGCCCGUCGAACUCAAAUAGUGCUAUGGCUAACACCUCUCAUAUCGUGUUGCAAUUGACGCUUUCAAAUCAGCGUCAUUUUCAGAUCGACAAGUGAUGAAUUGUGGUGGGCAGGGUGGCAACGCAGCGACUAUGGUUAGUUGGGCUUGGUAGCUCAAUGGCUGUAGAGUUGUUGGAGAAAGAGGAUAGAGAGAGAUGGAAGAGGAAUAGAGAGUAGAGGUGAGCGCGGUAUAUACACACACACACACACACACACAAACACAGAGAGGGUUGGAAAAUAAUUAGGGUCUAGAGAGGGUAGAUAGUAGUGUGGUGGAUAUGUAAAAUAAUUUAAUUUUUGCAAUAUUAUUAUUAAUAUUUAUAAUAGUAUAUUAUUAUCUGAUUUUUACAUAAAAAAAUAUCAAAUCUGAUUUU